GUCCGAUCUUCCCCUUCAGGUUCGCUCCUACAAAUCCAGCCAGGUGAGCUCCCAGGCUGACGCCGAUGAGGUGAACUGAGCUCAGAGGGGCUCCUUCCUCCUGCAGAGCACGAGGAGACCCAGCAGACCCAGGAGUCUGCGGGGCAGCAUCCUUCCUCCAACCGCAGAGACGUGAAGGGAACGGUCGAGAGACAUUCAGGUCCUGAGGCUGAUGGGGGAUGAACAUGUCGAGGAGCUCUGCGGGGAGAGAGAAGACCACGAUGGACGCGCUGCUCUGGACGGAGGACAACGACUGC